rnacentral:rRNA from 1 species
GGGGAAUAUUGGACAAUGGGCGAAAGCCUGAUCCAGCCAUGCCGCGUGUGUGAAGAAGGUCUUCGGAUUGUAAAGCACUUUAAGUUGGGAGGAAGGGCAGUAAGUUAAUACCUUGCUGUUUUGACGUUACCAACAGAAUAAGCACCGGCUAACUUCGUGCCAGCAGCCGCGGUAAUACGGAGGAUGCGAGCGUUAUCCGGAUUUAUUGGGUUUAAAGGGUGCGCAGGCGGGCUUUUAAGUCAGCGGUGAAAUCUGGACGCUUAACGUCCAAACUGCCGUUGAAACUGGGAGUCUUGAGUAUGGUUGAAGUAGGCGGAAUUCGUUGUGUAGCGGUGACAUGCAUAGAUAUAACGAGGAACUCCGAUUGCGUAGGCAGCUUACUAAGCCAUAACUGACGCUCAUGCACGAAAGCGUGGGGAUCAAACA